rnacentral:RNase_P_RNA from 1 species
GAGAGGGAGAGUGCAGCUGACGGUGGCCGAAAGGCUGCUGAGGAAAGUCCCCCCACUUACCAGGUACGCAGCCGCAUGCAAAUGCGGGUGGCGAGAGUCACGGCAAUGACACAGAAACGACACGGCCUGGCGUCAGCGAUGAUGCGACCGAGCCCGUACGGGCGAGACGCAGGUAACUGCAAGUUAACUCGCUGAGCGUUACGAGCGCCAGGAUGCGAUGAAACGGUGAAACCCUGCGGGUGCAAGCCAGAACGGGGCAAUCGAUUGCCUGGUAUCUGCCCGGGUAUGGCGCCCAGCUGAAUGCUGCACCGAACAGAAGGGGGCUUACUCCUCCCACUC